UAUGGAGAGUUUGAUCCUGGCUCAGGAUGAACGCUGGCGGCGUGCCUAAUACAUGCAAGUCGAGCGAACUGAAGAGGAGCUUGCUCCUUUGACGUUAGCGGCGGACGGGUGAGUAACACGUGGGUAACCUACCUAUAAGACUGGAAUAACUCCGGGAAACCGGGGCUAAUGCCGGAUAAUAUGUUGAACCGCAUGGUUCAACAGUGAAAGACGGUUUUGCUGUCACUUAUAGAUGGACCCGCGCCGCAUUAGCUAGUUGGUGAGGUAACGGCUCACCAAGGCGACGAUGCGUAGCCGACCUGAGAGGGUGAUCGGCCACACUGGAACUGAGACACGGUCCAGACUCCUACGGGAGGCAGCAGUAGGGAAUCUUCCGCAAUGGACGAAAGUCUGACGGAGCAACGCCGCGUGAGUGAUGAAGGUCUUCGGAUCGUAAAGCUCUGUUGUUAGGGAAGAACAAAUGUGUAAGUAACUGUGCACAUCUUGACGGUACCUAACCAGAAAGCCACGGCUAACUACGUGCCAGCAGCCGCGGUAAUACGUAGGUGGCAAGCGUUAUCCGGAAUUAUUGGGCGUAAAGCGCGCGUAGGCGGUUUUUUAAGUCUGAUGUGAAAGCCCACGGCUCAACCGUGGAGGGUCAUUGGAAACUGGAAAACUUGAGUGCAGAAGAGGAAAGUGGAAUUCCAUGUGUAGCGGUGAAAUGCGCAGAGAUAUGGAGGAACACCAGUGGCGAAGGCGGCUUUCUGGUCUGCAACUGACGCUGAUGUGCGAAAGCGUGGGGAUCAAACAGGAUUAGAUACCCUGGUAGUCCACGCCGUAAACGAUGAGUGCUAAGUGUUAGGGGGUUUCCGCCCCUUAGUGCUGCAGCUAACGCAUUAAGCACUCCGCCUGGGGAGUACGGUCGCAAGACUGAAACUCAAAGGAAUUGACGGGGACCCGCACAAGCGGUGGAGCAUGUGGUUUAAUUCGAAGCAACGCGAAGAACCUUACCAAAUCUUGACAUCCUUUGACCGCUCUAGAGAUAGAGUUUUCCUCUUCGGAGGACAAAGUGACAGGUGGUGCAUGGUUGUCGUCAGCUCGUGUCGUGAGAUGUUGGGUUAAGUCCCGCAACGAGCGCAACCCUUAAGCUUAGUUGCCAUCAUUAAGUUGGGCACUCUAGGCUGACUGCCGGUGACAAACCGGAGGAAGGUGGGGAUGACGUCAAAUCAUCAUGCCCCUUAUGAUUUGGGCUACACACGUGCUACAAUGGACAAUACAAAGGGCAGC
rnacentral:rRNA from 1 species